GAAUGGGAUUAGUGCCCUAAUAAAAGAGACCCCACAGAGUCACCCCGCCCCUUCCACCGUGUGAGGACACAGUGAGAAGGCACUGUCUAUAAACCAGAGAGUGGGCUCUUGCUAGGCACUCACUCUGCUGGUGCCUCCAUCUUGGACUUCCCAGCUUCCAGAAUCAGAGCCAAACCUAGAACACCAGCCAAAGCUUCGGAUGGUCUGGAAUGUGGAUUAAGAGCUGUCUGCAUAGCUCAGAACCGGCCCAGAAGGAGGAAGAGAAAUAAUUCCUAAUGUUGUCAAGUCCAACUCUGAAAUGUCCAAAGCACUAUGGAGCCUCUGGAUGGAUGGAAGUGACAAAGUCCCUUCCUCAUUGUGAUUAUUGACAAACAACGUUUGCCUGUUUCAUCACCUUCUGCAGGUACCAAGUCUCCCUGGUAGAAAGCCAAGUAAGAGAUGAAAGUAAACCUGAAAAAUCAAGGAGAAGCUGGAAUUUGACAGUUAAAAAAGAAAAACAUGUUGAAACCUACCACGGCAUUAUCUGGAGUCCUCACUUCCUAAAAUGCAGCACCCCUGCUGGAACAAGUUGCACUCCAACCUAGCUUCUCUUGGUGCCUAAGCUACUUAUGAACUGUGACCACAUUUGGAAGAUGCAUGUAAUACUUUUUCAGUAGCCUAAAAUCAAAUGGCCCAUUAGGCUGCAUACUGGUGACCUUCAGAAAUAUUCAACAGAGACGACCUUAGAGAGUGGA